GUGGAGGUAUGUGGUUAAUUCGAAGCAACGCGAGAACUUACCAGGGCUUGACAUACCUUGAAGCAGCUAGAGAUAGCUGUGUCCUUCGGGACAAGGAGACAGGUGGUGCAUGGUUGUCGUCAGCUCGUGUCGUGAGAUGUUGGGUUAAGUCCCGCAACGAGCGCAACCCCUACGUUUAGUUGCUAACGCGUGAAGGCGAGCACUCUAGACGAACUGCCGUUGACAAAACGGAGGAAGGUGGGGAUGACGUCAAAUCAUCAUGCCCCUUAUGUUCUGGGCUACACACGUGCUACAAUGGCCGGUACAGACGGACGCAAAGCCGCGAGGUGGAGCAAAUCCUAAAAAGCCGGUCUCAGUUCGGAUUGCAGGCUGCAAUUCGCCUGCAUGAAGUCGGAAUCGCUAGCAAUCGCAGGUCAGCAUACUGCGGUGAAUACGUUCCCGGGCCUU
rnacentral:rRNA from 1 species